CCUACGGGAGGCAGCAGUGAGGAAUAUUGGUCAAUGGCCGCAGGGCUGAACCAGCCAAGUCGCGUGAGGGAUGACGGUCCUAUGGAUUGUAAACCUCUUUUGUCAGGGAGCAAAGGGCGCCACGUGUGGCGCUUUGCGAGUACCUGAAGAAAAAGCAUCGGCUAACUCCGUGCCAGCAGCCGCGGUAAUACGGAGGAUGCGAGCGUUAUCCGGAUUUAUUGGGUUUACAGGGUGCGCAGGCGGAAUGUCAAGUCAGCGGUAAAAUUUCGGGGCUCAACCCCGUCGUGCCGUUGAAACUGGCGUUCUUGAGUGAGCGAGAAGUAUGCGGAAUGCGUGGUGUAGCGGUGAAAUGCAUAGAUAUCACGCAGAACUCCGAUUGCGAAGGCAGCAUACCGGCGCUCAACUGACGCUCAUGCACGAAAGCGUGGGUAUCGAACAGGAUUAGAGACCCGAGUAGUC
rnacentral:rRNA from 1 species